rnacentral:rRNA from 1 species
GGCGAAAGCCUGAUCCAGCAAUGCCGCGUGAGUGAAGAAGGCCUUCGGGUUGUAAAGCUCUUUUGUCAGGGAAGAAACGGUGAGGGCUAAUAUCCUUCGCUAAUGACGGUACCUGAAGAAUAAGCACCGGCUAACUACGUGCCAGCAGCCGCGGUAAUACGUAGGGUGCAAGCGUUAAUCGGAAUUACUGGGCGUAAAGCGUGCGCAGGCGGUUUUGUAAGUCUGACGUGAAAUCCCCGGGCUCAACCUGGGAAUUGCGUUGGAGACUGCAAGGCUAGAAUCUGGCAGAGGGGGGUAGAAUUCCACGUGUAGCAGUGAAAUGCGUAGAGAUGUGGAGGAACACCGAUGGCGAAGGCAGCCCCCUGGGUCAAGAUUGACGCUCAUGCACGAAAGCGUGGGGAGCAAACAGGAUUAGAUACCCUGGUAGUCCACGCCCUAAACGAUGUCUACUAGUUGUCGGGUUUUAAUUAACUUGGUAACGCAGCUAACGCGUGAAGUAGACCGCCUGG